GAAAGGCCAAUCAAACCGGGAGAUAGCUGGUUCUCCCCGAAAGCUAUUUAGGUAGCGCCUCGUGAAUUCAUCUCCGGGGGUAGAGCACUGUUUCGGCAAGGGGGUCAUCCCGACUUACCAACCCGAUGCAAACUGCGAAUACCGGAGAAUGUUAUCACGGGAGACACACGGCGGGUGCUAACGUCCGUCGUGAAGAGGGAAACAACCCAGACCGCCAGCUAAGGUCCCAAAGUCAUGGUUAAGUGGGAAACGAUGUGGGAAGGCCCAGACAGCCAGGAUGUUGGCUUAGAAGCAGCCAUCAUUUAAAGAAAGCGUAAUAGCUCACUGGUCGAGUCGGCCUGCGCGGAAGAUGUAACGGGGCUAAACCAUGCACCGAAGCUGCGGCAGCGACACUAUGUGUUGUUGGGUAGGGGAGCGUUCUGUAAGCCUGUGAAGGUGUACUGUGAG
rnacentral:rRNA from 1 species